rnacentral:rRNA from 1 species
UACGAAGGGUGCAAACGUUUGCUCGGAAUUAUUGGGCGUAAAGCGCACGUAGGCGGCUUAGCAAGUCGGAAGUGAAAGCCCUCGGCUCAACCAAGGAAGUGCUUUCGAAACUGCUGAGCUUGAGUACUUAAGAGGAUCGCGGAAUUCCCGGUGUAGAGGUGAAAUUCGCAGAUAUUCGGAGGAACACCAGUGGCGAAGGCGACUAACUGGACAGUAACUGACGCUGAGGCACGAAAGCGUGGGGAUCAAACAGG